UGGGGGAUAUUGCACAAUGGGGGGGAACCCGUGAUGCAGCGACGCCGCGUGGGUGAAGAAGCGCCUCGGCGCGUAAAGCCCUGUCAGCAGGGAAGAAAAUGACGGUACCUGAAGACGAAGCCCCGGCUAACUACGUGCC
rnacentral:rRNA from 1 species